rnacentral:rRNA from 1 species
GACGAACGCUGGCGGCGUGCCUAAUACAUGCAAGUCGAGCGAUGACGCUUGGUGCUUGCACCCAUUUGAAGAGCAGCGAACGGGUGAGUAACGCGUGGGGAAUCUGCCUUUGAGCGGGGGACAACAUCUGGAGACGAAUGCUACUACCACAUAACAACUUUAAACAUAAGAUUUAAGUUUGAAAGAUGCAAUUGCAUCACUCAAAGAUGAUCCCGCGUUGUAUUAGCUAGUUGGUGAGGUAAAGGCCCACCAAGGCGAAGAUACAUAGCCGAGCUGAGAGGGAGAUCGGCCACAAUGGGAAUGGGACACGGCCCAAACUCCUUCGGGAGGGAGCAGGAGGGGAUCUUCGGCCAUGGGCGACAGUCUGACCGCACACAGCCGGGGGGGUGGAGAAGGUUUUCGGGGUGGAAAAGUCUGUUUGUAGGGAAGAACGUUGGGGAGGGUAGAAAGCUCAUCAAGUGACGGUAACUAACCAGAAAGCAACGGCUAACUACGUG